GGAGGGCCAAGCACACCUACCCAAACAAGCCAAGGAGAGCGUCUAGACCAAGACCAAGAUCAAGGUGAGCGUCUAGGACGUGAAGGUGAGCGUCUAGGACGUGAAGGUGAGCGUCUAGGACGUGAAGGAGGGAGGCUACCUUUGGAGCUAGACCGUCUAGGUCCCCUUACAAGAUCAAUGGCCAAACAUAUUCAAACACAAGCAAAUGAGGCCACGGAUGGAAGAGAAAAGGCUUUGUAUAUGUUUGCAUAAAGGCCCAUUGGGGGUACUUAGUAGAUAGGAUAGUGUAGGAAGCAUUUUAGAUGGAAACCUUCUAGAAACUAGGGUUGUGUAUGACCGGCCAUUGCACCCUAGAAUUUAGAUUUAAUUUUGGUUUUCUUUUCCUUGUAAUGUAGCUUAUCAUUUACGUCCCAAACUAGCCUAUAAA
rnacentral:lncRNA from 1 species